CUCGGCCACAGUCAUCUCCGCGACGUCCCCACCGGCGCCAAAUCCUAGCCGUACGGCUCGGCUGCCGGAGCUGCUCCCAGGAAUCCUCUUUGCCGACUUCACCCCAUGGUGCUCGUACUGCGUCACCCCGACGUCCUCUUCUUCCACCUCCAACCUCCUUCCUCUGCUCUACGGUGGUGUGGUGAUGUUGCUGCUGCAUGGGCUGCCGUGGCCUGGCUCGGCUGGCCCCUCCUCUCCUUAAACUACUUCGAUCAGGAACAUAAACAACUUCAGAAACUCGCGGCAUUGGUCCUUGCUGAGGAGACAAUGAUGGAGAGAGCUGCAAUGGCUCUCAUGAUGGUGACGAUGGCCACAACGACGAGAGGGCGUCAAUAACUGGAGCACCGUAGCUUGGACCAUCACCAUAAGGGUUGAAGUUUGACACACUGAAGCAAACUAGGUUUCUGCGACAAGAACCAGUAAAUGACCGGAGAUUCAAAAUGAUCAAGGAAGGAAUGGUUAUUCCUACAUCGACGUCAUAGCAACACAAUCAGAUAAGACAGAUCCUUAGUGUUCAGAAAUUAGUAGUGGUCAAAGCUAAUGUUUUCUCAGUUUGGAAGUUUUAUCUUUUCAUGUUAUCUUGUUAAUCUUUUGUGGCGCAAAAGAUAUAUCUGGGAACAACUAUGCUCGAUUCAAGGGAGCCUCAAGGCCAUGCCGGAACUGCUUACUACCUUUUUUUAUGACCACCUACAUAUAUGUUGGAAAAAACCCUCCUGCAUUGUUCUCUACUAUGUCACGAUAAGUUGCACCUUGGAGUUAUGUUUUCUGCAGUUGUAAUCCCUAUCUUCUA